UUAAGUUCAGCGGGUAUUCCUACCUAAUCCGAGGUCAACCACUAGAAAUAUAGGGGGUUUUACGGCAGGCAGCUAGGGCGACUACAGAAGCGAGAAAAGAUUUACUACGCUCAGAGUACGCCAUAACUCCGCCACUGACUUUGAGGAGCUACGCUACAACCGUAGGCUCCCAACGCUAAGCUACAGGGCUUAAUGGUCGA
rnacentral:misc_RNA from 1 species